GCUCGUGUAGCUCAGUCGGUAGAGCAAAGGACUGAAGAUCCUUGUGUCGGCGGUUCGAUUCCGUCCGCGAGCACCA
rnacentral:tRNA from 1 species